rnacentral:tRNA from 2 species
GCCGUGGUGGGACAAUCCGGUACUCCGUCCGCCUCGAAAGCGGAAGCCGCAAGGCGUUCCAGGUUCAAAUCCUGGCCACGGCG